rnacentral:rRNA from 1 species
CCUACGGGGGGCUGCAGUGGGGAAUAUUGGACAAUGGGCGAAAGCCUGAUCCAGCCAUGCCGCGUGUGUGAAGAAGGCCUUCGGGUUGUAAAGCACUUUCAGUGGGGAAGAAAGCCUUGGGGCUAAUACCCUCGAGGAAGGACAUCACCCACAGAAGAAGCGCCGGCUAACUCCGUGCCAGCAGCCGCGGUAAUACGGAGGGUGCGAGCGUUAAUCGGAAUUACUGGGCGUAAAGCGCGCGUAGGCGGUCUGAUAAGCCGGUUGUGAAAGCCCCGGGCUCAACCUGGGAACGGCAUCCGGAACUGUCAGGCUAGAGGGCAGGAGAGGAAGGUAGAAUUCCCGGUGUAGCGGUGAAAUGCGUAGAGAUCGGGAGGAAUACCAGUGGCGAAGGCGGUCUUCUGGACUGACACUGACGCUGAGGUGCGAAAGCGUGGGUAGCAAACAGGAUUAGAUACCCUAGUAGUC